rnacentral:rRNA from 1 species
UGGGGAAUCUUGCGCAAUGGGGGGAACCCUGACGCAGCGACGCCGCGUGCGGGAUGGAGGCCUUCGGGUCGUAAACCGCUUUCAGCAGGGAUGAGACAAGACGGUACCUGCAGAAGAAGCCCCGGCUAACUACGUGCCAGCAGCCGCGGUAAUACGUAGGGGGCGAGCGUUAUCCGGAUUCAUUGGGCGUAAAGAGCGCGUAGGCGGCCGGGAGGGCCGGGGGUCAAAAUGCGGGGGCUCAACCCCCGCCCGCCCCCGGAACCCGCCAGGCCCGGCUGCCGGCGAGGGGAGGGUGGAACACCCGGUGUAGCGGUGGAAUGCGCAGAUAUCGGGUGGAACACCGGUGGCGAAGGCGGCUCUCUGGGCCGAGACCGACGCUGAGGCGCGAAAGCUGGGGGAGCAAACAGGAUUAGAUACC